UACGAAGGGGGCUAGCGUUGCUCGGAAUCACUGGGCGUAAAGGGUGCGUAGGCGGGUCUUAAGUCAGGGGUGAAAUCCUGGAGCUCAACUCCAGAACUGCCUUUGAUACUGAGGAUCUUGAGUUCGGGAGAGGUGAGUGGAACUGCGAGUGUAGAGGUGAAAUCGUAGAUAUUCGCAAGAACACCAGUGGCGAAGGCGGCUCACUGGCCCGAUACUGACGCUGAGGCACGAAAGCGUGGGGAGCAAC
rnacentral:rRNA from 1 species